GGAACUCAACUCUGUUGACCGGGCUGGCCUUGAACACACAGAUUGCUUGUUUCUGCCUUCUGAAAGCUCGGAUUUAAGGUGUUCACUACCAUGAAAAAAGAACACCAACUUUACUAGAACAACAGAAAUUUCCAAUUUCUAAGAAGGAAAAUAACAUGAAGCCAGCGCCACCUGGGAAGUGUCGCAUCACAUUACCGUUCUGAUGGCUCCUGGCCACACUGAGGGUGACGGAAGACCACCACCAUCAUAGCUGCUGCAAGGUCACGCUUUUGCCUGUAGCAGCUUCAUUGUCAAGGCCGCAGAUAGACUCGUUUCGAAGCUUUUGGUGUGGAGAGAAUCUAUCAAUAUAGAGAGCAGAGCCUUGUUUCUCCAACUAGAACAAACUAUGAACUAACCUAGUUUUCUUCCAGUCUGCUAGAGUACUCUGUGAAGACCUCUCUUCCAUCCCCACCAAAAUGGUGAGGGAAAGACAGGGGCAGGGCGCCACUAGCUCUAGCAGGCUGUUCUAAUGGUACGCUGGGCUCGGGUCCCUUUCUGCUGGUGGUAGUAGGUGUCUUUUCUGGCAGCUGCAGCAGCUUGAUGGGGGAGGAAGGAGCCACCCACACAUCACCUAUAUUUUUUGCGUUCAUAGAACGCACCAUUCUCCUGAAUGAUGCACUCUUUACAAUAGUAGGCAUCGGAGACUCCCGGACCUCCACAGAUCACACGCCGGCCCUGUCUUGUGGAAUAACCCUGUUCCAAGUGGCCCAUGAAUUUAACAUCUGCUUCACAAAAGUAAUUCCCCCUUAAAGAAUUCCCAGGUGGGACCUGAUCCAUAACGAGGCAUAGAGCAAAGGAUUGCCAGUCUACAAUUCACACUGCCAGAGGAGCUAGGAAACAAGGAGCACCCCAAGAGAAGAUUGCAUAGUCCUUCGAAGAACGGGAGGGGGACAAGAACCCCUGAACAAAGUGGGAGCAUGGGGCAUGGGUGGAGAGGAAGGAGGUGGGAAGGGAAGAAGGGGAGGGGGGAGGAGAACAAGAGGACUGAGACAGGGGAGGAAUAGAGGAGGGCAAGAAAGGAGAUGCCUUGAUAGAGGGAGAGAGUACAGGUAUGGAGAGAGGUCUGGCACAGGGGAAAUGUUAGGGGAUCCACAGGGAUGACCCAACUAAGAAACCAAGCAGUGGUGGAGAAGAUGCCAUUGAUGCCCUUCCCCUAUAAUGAGAUUGGUGUCUACCUUGGUUACCAUUCCUAGAGCCUUCAUCCAGUAGCUGUUGGUAGCAGAAACAGGCACCCACAGCUAAGCACUGAACUACUGGAAUCCAGUUGUGGAGA
rnacentral:lncRNA from 1 species